AUCUUCCCAGACCGGGGCACGAACCCGUGUCCCCUGCAUCGGCAGGCGGACUCUCAACCACCGCGCCACCAGGGAAGCCCAUCUCAGCGCCUUUUAAUACACUCCUGAGUGUGGUCUGGAGGUGAGUGUUCCACGAUCCGUAAGGAUUCCGAGCUACCGGAGACUCCAGUUGUUGUCUUGUUGCUCCACCAUCCCUCGGGCUUGGCCCUUGUCUGAAUGAAUAUUUGACCACACAUGGGUGGAUGGAUAUUCCAGCCAGGAGGACUGAGGGUCCCUGUCCUCACUUCCGGAGCUUACAAUGAAAUGAACUGAGCCAGAGAGGAUGCUACGGCAGAGAGAGACAAUGGCCAGCGUGACAGAAGGGAUUCAUCUAAGAUUCUUUUCCAGUAUACGUUAUUACAAGAUAUUGAAUAUAGUUCUCU